CACUCCAGCUGGAGACAGUAUCACAGCUGCGAAUGGCUCAAAAAAAAAUUCCCCGGGAGAAUCGUCUGAAGUCACUUUGGCACCGAACAUUUCAAUCGCAUUUCUGCACAGCAAGGAAGCCGGUCCCAGAGAGGGAGCUGGACAGCAGGAGUGGCAGUGAGGAGGUGGUGAAGGAAGAACAAGGACCUCAGAAAAAAAGAGCACGGGUUGACAAAACACAGGACAGCACAGCUCCCAGGAAAGCAGCUGUGAAGAUGGAGAAACCAGAGGAGAAAAGCGUGGAAGACAAAUAGGAGUAAAAGCGUGGAAGACAAAACAAAAUUGUGGAAGACAAAAAUGAGAAGAGUGAGGGAGAAGGAAAGCUGAGCACAGAGAAGUGGAAAAGGUGGCUAGUAUCACUGAGGACGUUAAAGACAAUAAAGGAGAGAAGACGGACCAGGCCCAGUACGACCCGUCCAGACCCAACUAUCACCCGGUGGACCACGCCUGCUGGGGGUGGGGACAGAGGGUCCCUUAUUCAGCUGUUGCACAUACCUUUGAGAAGAUUGACGAAGACUGGCAGAUAAGUGGAAUUUAAUAUACCUCCGAAGUGGUGACUGUUUGUUCUUGUGUAAUUUUUCCUUAUACUUCGUCUUACAUACUAAUUGCAUUCCUUUUUUUGCCAGAUUGAGGAGCAUUGAAACAUUAUCAAAUCUUCUACGCUCUGAUAAUCCUCUCUCCAGAUGAAAUAGUUUUCUUAGCUUUUUCCCUAAUGUUUGUGCAUGUGGAGCUAGCAGCAACUACAUGAGCUAUUGGCCCAGUUGCAGGAUGCAACCUAACUUAUUGAGAUGAGUCAGAUGGCCUGUGUCCCAAAUGGCAUCCUAUUUCCUACAUAGUCCAGUUCUUUUGACCAGAACCCUGGUCAAAAGUAGUGCAUUAUAUAAGGAAGAGGGUGCUUAUAAGCUCUGGUCAAAAGUAGUGCCCUAUAGGGAGUGAUUUGGGACGCAACCAGAGUGUAGAUGAGUCCAAUGUGUGUGCUGAGUUGAGUUUUCUCUCUUUCUCUUCUUCCUCAGAGGACCUGCUGAGCUGUGUUUACCUGUGUCUCAAUUAGUUGGGUCCUGCUUACCUGGGACUGGAGCUGGGAGUGGGAGAAACUGUACUGAUGAAAGCUGUUGCCCAAGCAAUUGGGCGACAGUUGGACAAAAUCAAGGCGGAGGCUGCAGAGAAGGGCGACUCGGGGUUGGUGGCGGAGAGUUCCCGUAGCAACCAGAGAAUGUUCCAGCCAGCCAAUCUGACGGCAGGGGGCGUGUUCAACAAACUGAAAGACAUCAGGAACAUGAGUGGGAACUCUGAGUUGUCUGUCUUUGUCUGUCUGAUGUUUACAUGAACAUCCUCAAUGUUUUUGAUACAUUUACUGAUUAAAAACCAGUCUUCUGCUGUCCAGGAAA